rnacentral:rRNA from 1 species
AACGAACGCUGGCGGCAUGCCUAACACAUGCAAGUCGAACGAGACCUUCGGGUCUAGUGGCGCACGGGUGCGUAACGCGUGGGAACCUGCCCUUAGGUUCGGAAUAACUCCCCGAAAGGGGUGCUAAUACCGGAUAAUGUCUUCGGACCAAAGAUUUAUCGCCUUUGGAUGGGCCCGCGUUGGAUUAGCUAGUUGGUAGGGUAAAAGCCUACCAAGGCGACGAUCCAUAGCUGGUCUGAGAGGAUGAUCAGCCACACUGGAACUGAGACACGGCCCAGACUCCUACGGGAAGCAGCAGUGGGGAAUAUUGGACAAUGGGCGAAAGCCUGAUCCAGCAAUGCCGCGUGAGUGAUGAAGGCCUUAGGGUUGUAAAGCUCUUUUACCCGGGAUGAUAAUGACAGUACCGGGAGAAUAAGCUCCGGCUAACUCCGUG